GAAUUGCUGUCCGCUGUUUUCAAACCUCAAAACUACCUAUACAGUGGCAUAUAUGUAUAAUCUUGGAGGGCAUUAGCGCACGCGCACUCUCAGCACCGCCUGUUUCUUCAAUGAAUUCCCCAAUGCGCCUGCACAUGCACUGUAUGUUACAUGCGUUCAGCUACUCAGUUUGCCAAUCGCGCCCUCAAUCGUAGCAAGUAAUGUGGUGGAUGGUAUUGUGAAGGGUUAUUUACUUACCAAAAGAGAAACACUACUACAUCAAUUCUGUUGGUAUAAUACUCGCUGGUGUGCCUGAGCCCCAUCGGAGUGUAAAUGAACACCAUGGGCAAUACAUUGAUACACCAGUCGCGCAAUACAAGCUUAAGCGAGAGAGCACCCUUGAAUUAAAGUGCAUGCCCCUUCGCGUUGAUGGGUGUCAGCUGGAUUGACAUAUUAAACAUUACCUUAAUCAUGCAUAUUAAAGCGGAGUAGUCAACACAGCGCAAAGGCAAUGCACGAAGACGCAGAGGCUGCCGCUGUUGGGCGUGUGUAGGGUAUACAAUCCGACAAUUUCUCAAACGUGAACCGGAUAAUAUUAAUUUGGAAACCCGCAGAAACUGGCUAAUGGGCGCAGGGUAAGGCUGACACUGGUACACGGCUAGCAAAUGCGCAGUGCGUCAAUUAAAGAACCGGUUUGAUAACCAAGAAGGAUUAUGCCGUAACAUUACCGCCACCCUGACACUUAUUUAAUAAGUAACAAAUAUGUACAUAUCGCACACUCUUUUCAAAAGUGACACAACCUAAAAUUUGGCAUUAUGUAUAUAAUGCAAUAUUUCAUUUUGCCAGUUUAUUUACAAGUAAAAAAGUGCUAAUCUGACACAUCCAAAUUAUAUUCAACUAUAAGUACAUAUUUAAGUUUCACUAGAAAAUUUCAGUAGCCU